UCUCAUGCAGUCAUUCUCCAAUGGGAAGCACCGUCUGUGGUCUGAAAGCAAGCAGAGGGCCUCCUUUUGGAGCACUACUGUUUGAGA
rnacentral:pre_miRNA from 1 species